AGCGAACGCUGGCGGCAGGCCUAACACAUGCAAGUCGAACGAACUCUUCGGAGUUAGUGGCGGACGGGUGAGUAACACGUGGGAACGUGCCUUUAGGUUCGGAAUAACUCAGGGAAACUUGUGCUAAUACCGAAUGUGCCCUUCGGGGGAAAGAUUUAUCGCCUUUAGAGCGGCCCGCGUCUGAUUAGCUAGUUGGUGAGGUAAAGGCUCACCAAGGCUACGAUCAGUAGCUGGUCUGAGAGGAUGACCAGCCACAUUGGGACUGAGACACGGCCCAAACUCCUACGGGAGGCAGCAGUGGGGAAUCUUGCGCAAUGGGCGAAAGCCUGACGCAGCCAUGCCGCGUGGAUGAUGAAGGUCUUAGGAUUGUAAAAUCCUUUCACCGGUGAAGAUAAUGACUGUAGCCGGAGAAGAAGCCCCGGCUAACUUCGUGCCAGCCGCCGCUGUAAAAC
rnacentral:rRNA from 1 species